rnacentral:rRNA from 1 species
CAGAGGGUGCAAGCGUUAUUCGGAAUCACUGGGCGUAAAGAGUUCGUAGGCUGUUUACUAAGUCUUAUGUGAAAGCCCCAGACCUAAUCUGGGAAGUGCAUAAGAUACUGAUAGACUAGAGUGCAGGAGGGGAGAGCGGAAUUCCAGGUGUAGAGGUGAAAUUCGUAGAUAUCUGGAGGAACAACAGGGGGCGAAGGCGGCUCUCUGGACUGCAACUGACGCUGAGGACGAAGCAUGGGAGCAAACAGGAUU